rnacentral:rRNA from 1 species
CGGGACGGGUGAGUAAUGUCUGGGAAACUGCCUGAUGGAGGGGGAUAACUACUGGAAACGGUAGCUAAUACCGCAUAAUGUCUACGGACCAAAGCGGGGGACCUCCGGGCCUCGCGCCAUCAGAUGAACCCAUAUGGGAUUAGCUAGUAGGUGAGGUAACGGCUUACCUAGGCGACGAUCCCUAGCUGGUCUGAGAGGAUGAUCAGCCACACUGGGACUGAGACACGGCCCAG